CAUGACCGCUGGCGGCGUGCCUAAUACAUGCAAGUCGAGCGAACGGAAGAGAAGCUUUCUUUUCUGAAGUUAGCGGCGGACGGGUGAGUCAAACGUGGCUAACCUACCUAUAAGACUGGGGUAACUUCGGGAAACCGGAGAUAGUACCGGAUAAUCUUUUGAAACGCAUGGAUCACAAGUGACAGACGGACUUGCUGUCACUUAUAGAUAUAUCCGCGAUGCAUUCGCUAGGUGGUAAGGUAACGGCUUACCAAGGCAACGAUGCAUAGACGACCUGAGAGGGUGAUCAGCCACUCUGGAACCUAGACACGGUCCAGACUCCUACGGUAGGCAGCAGUAGGGAAUCUUCCGCAAUGGGCGAAAGCCUGGCACAGCAACGCCGCGUGAGUGAUGAAGGUCUUCGGAGUGUAAACCUCGGUUAGUAGGGAAGAAGGCAGGUGGAAGGAACCGUGCAUGUCUUGACGGUACCAAAUCAGAAAGCCCCGGCUAACUACGUG
rnacentral:rRNA from 1 species